rnacentral:rRNA from 1 species
UACGUAGGGAGCGAGCGUUGUCCGGAAUUACUGGAUGUAAAGGGAGCGCAGGUGGUUUAUUAAGUCUGGUGUAAAAGGCAGUGGCUCAACCAUUGUAUGCAUUGGAAACUGGUAGACUUGAGUGCAGGAGAGGAGAGUGGAAUUCCAUGUGUAGCGGUGAAAUGCGUGGAUAUAUGGAGGAACACCGGUGGCGAAAGCGGCCCUCUGGCCUGUAACUGACACUGAGGCUCGAAAGCGUGGGGAGCGAACAGG